rnacentral:misc_RNA from 1 species
GAAGACAGUAAUGCAGGUAAAGCAAUGCUGAUCAUCAGGUCAAUAAGAAUUCGCAAAUUACAACAGUUGAGCUCACCAUAUGAUGUCUUCGAAUCUCACCUGAACAACCAUAUUAGAAUAAAACCCAAAAUACACAAACAAAAAUCCCACACAAUGCAAUUAGAGUAUCAAGAAGAAUCUCAACUAAUUACAAGCACAAAGCCAUUUGGACUGCAG